rnacentral:lncRNA from 1 species
UUAAGAGUAGGAGAGAACCUGGAUGGAGAUGGAUGAUCUCCAUAGAAUCCAUAUCUUUCCCAGAGAACUAGUAUUAUAAGUAGUAAAAGAAUUCCAACCAGGGAAUUUAUCCUUCAAGAUAUCAGAAGCAUUCAAACGGGAGACUCAAGUUUCCAGAAUUCCAACUAUAUCUAUACUAAGUUUAUUAAUAUAACUGGAAAGAAAACUAUCUUUAUUAGGGGAAUUAAAACCCCUUAAAUUCCAUAUCAAAAUCUUCAUGUCUUAUGAUGACCCCUCCGCUUUUUCUUACCUCCUCUAGCGGCAGGAGUGACUUUGGCAACAUUAACAUGGUCAGCAAGGGUAGCAACACCAGGGAUUGUGUGAAUCAAACAUGGUUGUUCCAUCAUUAUCUCUUCAUCGACUGAUUCUUCAUCAACAUCUUUUUGGCUUAUAGUCAAAGGAAUUUCCAGGACCAGUUUGUGGCCUCGAGACUCAAAGGACACAGACGGGAAGUCUCGACCCCCGAAGAGGCUUCAACUCUCCCAGCCUGUUGAGGAGUAGCAACAGUUUUGCCUAACCAAGCAGGCUGUUCCGUUGAUAUUCCUCCCCCUUCAACCGGUGAACUAUUGAUGGUUGAAGGUGCGACCUCCGCUCACAAUUGAGCCUCAGCCACAUUGCCUUCAGAGUCAACAUCAGUUCCCACAAGUGAAGGCUGGGAAACAGGCCUCCAUUCCUGUCUUUGUACUUCCAAACGACUAUAACUUUGAGUUUGCAGAGUCACUAUAGUAAUGCUAGCCACACCAUUUUCAAGUUGAACAUUGACAGAGUUCGGGACAGCUGUAGCAUGUUGUAUCAAGAGACAGAUUUUGACAUUUAGACCCUCCUGUACAAACUGGUUAAGUGGUUCUCUAAUCUUACUAAAAAUCCAUCCAAUACCUUCAUACGUUACCAUCUGGGGAGAAACCCCCUUCGAAGUGAUCCAGGUAAGGGAGCCCUUAUCAGUUAAAUCAAGUGGAUGGACGUUCGCACUCCAACGACGAAGAACAGGAGUAGAGUGGUGGAUGUGCCACGCACGAGACAGAACCCAAUCGCAGAGACGAAUAGACGACAACCCAAUGAGGAAAAAACCCUCGGAGAGGGUCGAGAGAGUGACUUCCCCUUCAAAUCCCAGAGACGAUUGAUCAUGGCGGAAAACACUCGCAUCGGAGGGGAAGAACCAACGAAUUGAGCGACAAUUGCAUAUCUUAAUUUCUUAAGACCUACAUCAAGAAACUCCGUAUAUGAAAGAAGAAUCUGGAACCUCAUAGAACUUAGCUCUUGCUUGGUAGAGGGAUUUUAAAAUCUAUGUAUUUGAUUAAAUAGCAUGUAUUUGUAAAUGUAAG